UUUCUUUACGCCGACCUCAGAGCAGGUGAGGCUACCCGCUGAAUUU
rnacentral:rRNA from 1 species